UGGAAUCAUAAAAGAUUAUGGAUACUUGUGUGGUUGUUCACUCUGCAAUUUCUCCAAAGUUCUCAGUGCUUACGAAUUUGAAUGCACGCUGGGGGCAAGACUAGACACCCGAACAAUCAUAUUUAUUUGGAGAAUGGAAAACCUAUUUACAGGAUAAUUCAGGAGUUGAAGACUGCACCACUUAGUCAACUAGAAGAAGUUGUAAAAGACGUGGCUGGUUCUUCUAUUAAUGAGCAAUAUCUCGAGGCUUGGAAAGCCAAACUCUUCCUGCAGCACCAUGACGUGGCUAGUGCUUACCAAUAUUCUCAUGGAAAAGUUUCAGGGAUGUAUCAGUAUAAGCCAAGUGAUUGCAGUUCGGUGAUGGAAGAUGGCCUAUAUUCUGCUUACUCGUGUAUUGACAACUUCCCUCCAAAUCCACGUAGCUCUAUGGAGACUGCAGAAUCAUGGAAGCAUGUGGUUAAAAAGCCAAGGUGCAAUUUUUCCAACUCAACAGUAGAGCCAAAGAAACCUGCAGAAGGUGG
rnacentral:misc_RNA from 1 species